rnacentral:rRNA from 1 species
UACGUAGGGUGCAAGCGUUGCCCGGAUUCAUUGGGCGUAAAGGGCGCGUAGGCGGCUUCGUGCGUCACGCGUGAAAUCGCUCGGCUCAACCGGGCGGGGUCGGGUGAUACGGCGAAGCUCGAGCAAGGUAGGGGGCCAUGGAAUUCCCGGUGUAGUGGUGGAAUGCGUAGAGAUCGGGAGGAACACCCGUGGCGAAGGCGGUGGCCUGGACCUGUUGCUGACGCUGAGGCGCGAAAGCGUGGGGAGCGAUCCGG